CAGAGGGGGCAAGCGUUGUUCGGAAUUACUGGGCGUAAAGGGCGCGUAGGCGGCCUGCUAAGUCGAACGUGAAAUCCCUGGGCUCAACCCAGGAACUGCGUCCGAGACUGGUUGGCUUGAAUCCGGGAGAGGGAUGUGGAAUUCCAGGUGUAGCGGUGAAAUGCGUAGAUAUCUGGAGGAACACCGGUGGCGAAGGCGACAUCCUGGACCGGUAUUGACGCUGAGGCGCGAAAGCCAGGGGAGCAAACGGGAUUAGAUACCCCGGUAGUCCUGGCCCUAAACGAUGAAUGCUUGGUGUGGUGGGUAUCGAUCCCUACCGUGCCGAAGCUAACGCAUUAAGCAUUCCACCUGGGGAGUACGGUCGCAAGGCUG
rnacentral:rRNA from 1 species